rnacentral:rRNA from 1 species
UACGUAGGGUGCGAGCGUUGUCCGGAAUUAUUGGGCGUAAAGGGCUCGUAGGCGGUUUGUCGCGUCGGGAGUGAAAACGCCGUGCUUAACACGGCGCUUGCUUUCGAUACGGGCAGACUAGAGGUAUGCAGGGGGAGAACGGAAUUCCUGGUGUAGCGGUGAAAUGCGCAGAUAUCAGGAGGAACACCGGUGGCGAAGGCGGUUCUCUGGGCAUUACCUGACGCUGAGGAGCGAAAGCGUGGGGAGCGAACAGG